rnacentral:tRNA from 1 species
AAGGAUUUAAGUUAAUUAAACUAAGAACCUUCAAAGUUCUAAAUAAAGGCCCGCCCCCUUUAAGCCUUG